rnacentral:rRNA from 1 species
CGCGUGCGGGAAGAAGGCCUUCGGUUGUAACGCUUUGUCAGGGAAGAAAAUACUUCUGAGCUAAUACCUCGGGGGGAUGACGGUACCUGGAGAAUAAGCACCGGCUAACUACGUGCCAGCAGCCGCGGUAAUACGUAGGGUGCAAGCGUUAAUCGGAAUUACUGGGCGUAAAGCGUGCGCAGGCGGUUGUGCAAGACAGAUGUGAAAUCCCCGGGCUUAACCUGGGAACUGCAUUUGUGACUGCACGGCUAGAGUGCGGCAGAGGGGGAUGGAAUUCCGCGUGUAGCAGUGAAAUGCGUAGAUAUGCGGAGGAACACCGAUGGCGAAAGGCAAUCCCCUGGGCCUGCACUGACGCUCAUGCACGAAAGCGUGGGGAGCAAAACAGGAUUAGAUACCCUGGUAGUCCACGCCCUAAACGAUGUCAACUGG